rnacentral:rRNA from 1 species
GACGAACGCUGGCGGCGUGCCUAACACAUGCAAGUCGAGCGGAGAUAAGCAGAAGGUAACUGAAGUUUGUCUUAGCGGCGGACGGGUGAGUAACACGUGGGCAACCUGCCUCGGAGUGGGGGAUAACACCGGGAAAUCGGUGCUAAUACCGCAUAACAUACAUUGACUGCAUGGUUGAUGUAUCAAAGGAGCAAUCCGCUUUGAGAUGGGCCCGCGGCUGAUUAGCUAGUUGGUAAGGUAAAGGCUUACCAAGGCGACGAUCAGUAGCCGACCUGAGAGGGUGACCGGCCACACUGGAACUGAGACACGGUCCAGACUCCUACGGGAGGCAGCAGUGGGGAAUAUUGCGCAAUGGGGGAAACCCUGACGCAGCAACGCCGCGUGGAGGAAGAAGGUCUUCGGAUUGGUAAACUCCUGUCUUCUGGGAAGAUAAUGACGGUACCAGAGGAGGAAGCCACGGCUAACUACGUGCCAGCAGCCGCGGUAAUCAUACUCGUAC